AACGAACGCUGGCGGCAGGCUUAACACAUGCAAGUCGAACGCACCCUUCGGGGUGAGUGGCAGACGGGUGAGUAACACGUGGGGAUCUGCCCAAUGGUACGGAAUAGCUCCGGGAAACUGGAAUUAAUACCGUAUGUGCCCUUCGGGGGAAAGAUUUAUCGCCAUUGGAUGAACCCGCGUCGGAUUAGCUAGUUGGUGUGGUAAAGGCGCACCAAGGCGACGAUCCGUAGCUGGUCUGAGAGGAUGAUCAGCCACACUGGGACUGAGACACGGCCCAGACUCCUACGGGAGGCAGCAGUGGGGAAUAUUGGACAAUGGGCACAAGCCUGAUCCAGCCAUGCCGCGUGAGUGAUGAAGGCCUUAGGGUUGUAAAGCUCUUUCGCCGACGAAGAUAAUGACGGUAGUCGGAGAAGAAGCCCCGGCUAACUUCGUGCCAGCCGCCGCCGUAACAC
rnacentral:rRNA from 1 species